rnacentral:misc_RNA from 1 species
UGGUGUUUGCUUAUGACCUAUUAAAUAUAUGACAAUAGGAAGGACAAAGUAUCUUUGCAGUCGGCAUUACAAGGGAUGCUUGGGUCGUUCAGUGCAACUUGAAGUGGCAGUGUCCUACGCAUGGAGAUACGUCUUAGUGCUGGACACCUAAAAAGAAUUUAAUAUAUUUGCUAAAUAUGGUUGCAGUGAUGUGCAAUAGACAUGGUGCAUAAGUUCAUCUGGAAUAUUUCUCUCAUGGUGGUUUUUUUAUAGCUUAUUCAAUCCUUUAGUUUAACCAUCCCAAAAGGAACCAUUUGUAAUUAUGAUAGGCCACUUCUCUAGAAUGAUGUCAAUGUUUUAGUUGAUAAUUGCCUAGUGGAAGCAAAGGGAUUAGAAGAUUUUCAUAAUUGAUGCAGUUUCAACUGCACAUGUGGUUCUAUUUUGAAUGGAGUAUAUCCAAGCCUUGUUCCAUGGAAUUUAUGGACAAGCUGGUUAGUCCUGAAGUCGACAUUAUUAAUUCGUCUGACAAAGAACUUUCACUGGUUCCCAUGGUACUCCUGUCUCUGAUAUUUUCAGGAGUUCGGGAAACAAGCAGUGACCAUGCUUCAGAGCAUGCAAGAGUCUUUCAACAUCUGUGCUGCGACAAUAUAAUCUA